rnacentral:tRNA from 2 species
GGAAGAUUGGCCGAGUGGAAAGGCACCGGUUUGCUAAGCCGGCGAGCCCGAAAGGGUGCAUGGGUUCGAAUCCCAUAUCUUCCU